rnacentral:rRNA from 1 species
GUGAGGAAUUUUCCGCAAUGGGCGAAAGCCUGACGGAGCAAUGCCGCGUGAAGGAUGAAGGCCUAUGGGUUGUAAACUUCUUUUCUCAGAAAAGAAUUAUGACGGUAUCUGAGGAAUAAGCAUCGGCUAACUCUGUGCCAGCAGCCGCGGUAAGACAGAGGAUGCAAGCGUUAUCCGGAAUGAUUGGGCGUAAAGCGUCGGGAGGUUGUUUAAAAAGUAUUCUGUCAAAGAUUAGGGCUUAACCCUAGAUAGGCAGAAUAAACUAUUAAGCUAGAGUUUGGUAGAGGCAGAGGGAAUUCCCGGUGGAGCGGUGAAAUGCGUAGAUAUCGGGAGGAACACCAAAGGCGAAGGCACUCUGCUGGGCCAAUACUAACACUGAGAGACGAAAGCGAGGGGAGCAAAUGGGAUUAGAUACCCUAGUAGUCC